CUGGAAGUUGGGGAAAUAGUGGAAGGCAUAGGCAAAAGGAAGAAGAGGAGGAGGAGCUGGAAGAUGGGGAAAUAGUAGAAGGCACUCAACAAGAGGAAGAAGAGGAGGAACUGGAAGAUGGGGAAAUAGUAGAAGGCAUUCACUCUGUUUGACACCAUCUUAAGUACUCCAGCUGGCAUGGAAACACCUGAUGUCAUUGACCUUCGGCAGCCAUCGAUGAAGGAAGCAGAUAAUAACCAGGCAGAAAGGCCAUUAUACCAGGUUCUUGAACAGAAGGAAGAAAAGACCGCCUCUGCCGGGGGCACAACCAUGCGUAUGAAUGCUUUCCUAACCAAACCCCUAUCAUGCAGUCCUCCCUCGAUUCAUGCUUAGCUUGUCAGCCAUAAAGUCACAACUCACAAGCUGCAUGCGCAUUCUCGCGUUAAUCACAGAACCAGGGGCUGGAGAGAGUGGACGUCACCAUCCACCUUGACCAGCUUGACGCCGUGCACGACACUCUGGUGGCAAAGUAAAAGACCGUCUCACCGGCCAUUUUCUGCUACAGAGUGCAGGGAUAAUAUGCAUGGUGCGGCAUGUUUUGGUUACCUACCUAUGUGUUUCGGUUGACAGGUGCAGGGAGUUAUGGGAGGAGGGAGAGAGCGCGGGCUAGAGGAAGAGGAGGGGGAAGAUCGGCGGGGAAGGGAGCAAGAAGAGCAAGAAGAUGGACUUCAAGUUUUAGAAGAGUAGGAGAAUGACCUUUAUUUUGCAUCUGCAAACUAACUCAUUGGAGGAGGUAGAUUAGUGUCUGACGACCUGAUGAACAGCUCCCGUUGCACGGAGGAGAAUGUGUAGCUCGUGCGGAGUAGUGUAGAUGCAGGAGUAGGAGGAAUGUGGUUUAGGUGAUGCCUUAGGUAGGAUGUAAGGUUUGAUUUUUGUAAGGUGGGAUUCGGCCGCUGACCUUGAAGAUAGUAUCAGUGGGUAGACUUGUAGGACUGAAGAUACUGUCAGUGGCUUUGAACAAGCUAUCCAACUAGGAGAAUGCAAAAUAGUCGAAACAUUAGAAGACUUGUUUUUCACCGUGCAGUAUUUCUGUAGAGGUAUAGUUGAUCAAUCCCACUACAUAAUUUGCCUUCUUGAGUCUGAAUCACCAGAUGGCCAUCAAAUAGCUGUUGAAAUGAUAUCAGGAGAUGAGCACUCUCACACUGCUAAUCUUCCCACUUCUGUGAGCACUGUUUAUGAUCUAAUUUAGUUUUCCUAGUGUAAUACCUCUUGAUCUCUGUCAGCUACAUGAUAUUCUUUUGCAGGAUCAAGCAAGGAAGUUUGUGGAUCGAUCAUUCUUCUGAUGAAAGUGAAUGGCUACGCACUAUGCAACUCUACGGAAUGCAAUGGAUUCUCUGAUCUCAGGCGGGUAAGAUGAGGAUUCUUUUUAUUAAUACUCGCAAUUACUCCCUCCGUUCCUAAAUAUUUGUCUUUUUAGAGAUUUCAAAUGGUUACCACAUACGGAUGUAUAUAGACAUAUUUUAAAGUGUAGAUUCACUCAUUUUGCUCCGUAUGUAGUCACUUGUUGAAACCUCUAGAAAGACAAAUAUUUAGGAACGGAGGAGUAGAUUAGAAUCGGCCCAGUUGCACCUUCAUUAGAAUCAGCCAAAAAGCUGGCAUCAACAAAGUGUGAUGCAUUUUUUUGGGGGUAAGGCCUAAUCUUUAUUGAUUAAAGACCACAUAGAGUGGGAUAAUGUUCACAUUUAAGAGCAAAUCUGGCUAAUCUAUGAGCUUCUACAUACACAUACAAAGUCAGUAACAUUGGACUGGACUACUCAUCUCCCCCACCGCCAUCCACCGCUCGGCCCAGCUCGGCCUCACGUCAGGAACAAUGGGCCUUAGCCCAUCAUUCGCCCAUCGCAGCAGACGGCACAUAUAAAUGGCGAUCCUCCCUUCCACGCCGCCCCCUCCCACCUAGGGUUCCACCAUCUUGUCAAAAGAAAAAGAAAAAAACUAGGGUUCCACCAGAGAGCAAAGGGGAUCGGGUGUCAGUUAUGCGCCACCGCCUGCCGUGCGCCGAUCUCCCCCCUCUCGCCGUCGCAAUCGCCGUCGGAUGCCUCGAAUGAGGAUCCACUGCUGCUUGCGAACAGGCGACCAAAUAAGCAGCUCCCCCUUUGGGAGUAACACCAAAAGAUACACAAAAAAGCGCCAACACCACAUAGGACAGGACACACACGGACAAGAUAACUCAAUUAGGUUUCUAUCCUUGCUUUGUUCAUAAUGUAACACCAAAAAAUCACACCAUUCUCUUUUUUGUAUAUGCUGUCCAAGACUCGUAAAAAGUCCAAUGUGGUGCAAAAUCAACCACAAUCAUGCAUAGGAAAGACACGAGCCACCACUAAUUGAGGAGGGACGUUGCACAUAAGUCCUAGCAAAAAAUUACAGUGCACUUACAAACAAAAACCAAGCGUUUUUACAGCGCCCUUUCUAAACAAAAUUGGGUGUUACUUCUUCCGAUUAACAUGAAAAAUCUUAAGCUGUGUUACAUGUCAAAAGAUAAUGUCCUACCACCAUAAGCUCAGGUAUGCAAAGUACCAAACACAUAAGAUUUUACAUACAGCAUAGUACCUUAAGAGGUACUAUAAGGGUUGGUUCUCUGAAGGCGAAACUUCAUCAAAAACGGGAUUUUGAGCAGUGGAGCGAUCUGCAAGAGUAAGUCCUAAUCAGUUCGAGCGGCAGACAUAAUCCAAAGGAAUUUUGAGAGGUAGAUUUUUACAAAUCAUAUGCCCUCUACUGUUCUGCCUUGUGCGUUGGCCGAGAACGACAGUUGAGCCUCUGCAAACCGAAACGAUGGUCAUAUACUGAAGAUACGUCAGUGUUCAGCUACAAGGCCAGCAGUAGGGGAGAAUCACCUCUGCGUUUGCAUCACCUGAUCUCGCACCGACAGCCUUGGUGCAUCAUUCUUGUGCCGGGAGAUGUUACCUGAGUAGCAAACUGCAAACUGCAAACUCCAUGUGCACAUUUGCAGAUCCACCAAAAGGGAAGGAUCCUUAGGGCAGUUGACAAUGGCCAUGGCAUCGACAAGAUUAACGUGGAGGGGUAGGGUUUCCGCGCACUUGGUUGAUGACCACGAGAUCGGAGCCUCACUCGGCCUGUCGGCCAUGAACUGCGGCGGCACCACCAUCUUGAUGUAAUCCUGCGCGCGACGCGGGCGGGAGUCACAGAAGCAACCCAUGACCAGCCACUCGCUGGGGUUUCUCGGGGGCUGGUGGAGCUUAUGGUCGGCGGCGGUGGCUGGAGGCCCGCGGCUUCGGCGGAACGGGGCGCCGGAGUUCAAGGUGGAGGACUGGAGGCUGCGUUUUUUUCUUUUUGGGAUAGAAGAAGGCUGCGUAGCCGCCGCGGUAUCAAGUUGGGUUGAAUUUCGGCCCACCCGGAAAUUUGGCCCACGUGGAAACAAAUAUGUACUUUGGAAAAACGUGUAUAUAUUCUAAAAAAUAUGAAAAAAGUGUAUAUAAGCAAGGUGAGAGAAAGGACAGCUGGGUCUCCUGAGAUGUCAUGACAAAGCUGAAAAAAUUGGGAGGUCUGGGCUUCAGAGAUAUAGAACUAUUUAAUCUUGCUUUAUUGGCUUUUUUUGGCGUGGUGUAUUCUA